GAAAGGGACGGUGACACGGGGCAGAAAGGCAAGGCAAACAGGAACGGCAGUGAUGGGAUGUAAAUAAUUCAUCCAGGCUGAAAACCAAAUUAGAGCCCAGUGGUCGCGGCUGGCCUGGUCCACACAGAAGGAGACUCAUCUUCUGAUACCUGGAAUGUCGGACAGGCAGGACCAUCGGCAGCGUUUCCUGGUUAAUCUGCCCCUGCUGAGGCUGGCUGAGAGGCAGCUGGGUGGCAAGAUGCUCUCCAGCAGCAGCUCUCAAGGCCCAGCUUUGCAGUCGGACUCUGAAGCAUUCGUGGUUCUGUGGGGAUCUCGACAAGCUGAUUUGACAGCAGAAUGGAUACAGGCUCUGCGAUGUGUGUCGUUUCCUGUGCCUAUUGUUCCUGCCAGUACUGCUUGCUAAAUAAGUAAUUAGCAUUUGUGAGAGUCUUCAGAAUGUGAGGCAAGACAAGUUUUAUGGUGAUGAACUAUGAGGGAGUGGGCUUGAAGCAGCUGUGGAGAGCAGGAGAGCUGCAUGCUAAGGUGAGCGGAGCAGCCUGGCUCACCCCAUCUUGCCCUGCAUCCGUGCCGUCCUUCGAGGGGACCCAGCUUCUGCUGACACGGGGAGACCUCUCACAGCAGUCCUGACAGGGAAGGCAAAAGGAAAUAACAUCGCUUUAACUCCCAGAGCCUAGGGAAGGGCCUGUCUUGUCUGCUGUGGUGUGAUCCGCCUCCAAGACACGGCAAGGAGCAUACCCCCAGCCGUCACAGCAGUUCCUUGCAAGCAUCUCGGCCCGCCCUGGGGUCACCUAUUGCUCUACAGCCCCCUGGGCACUUCAGGGUUGCACAGAGCCACUCGAGCAGCAUCACACGCAGCCAGUGCCACUGCCCAGAGCAGCACGUGGGUCCCAACCCCCUGUCCUCCUGCCCAGACAGUGCCGUGGCUUCCAGACCUGGGAAUGGAGCAAUCGCGUGGUCCUCGUGGCUGCAUUUCCCCGUCACAGGGAAGACCGGAGGUGGUUAGAUUGUUUCCCCAAUCGUUAAUUCGGGAGCACCCGGCUUGAGUGAGCCUGCUGCAGGCAGCACAGCAUUCAGUGGUGAUUGGGGUUUUCCCUGCGCUAACCCACAGCAGCAGCCCUGCACCUUCCUCCCAAAGCCACAUUUUGCUGCUGGUUCCAGGUCACCUUCUGUAGCCGGUGCCUGUUGUUAGAGUCAUGUGUACAGAUUUUGGGCCCCG